UCAGCCCUGGACCGUCUACACCAUGGCCUGGGCUCCUCUCCUGCUCACAUUUCUGGCUCACUGCACAGGAGCCACUUCCCAGGCUGUGGUGACUCAGGAAACUUCCCUGUCCACAAAUCCUGGAGGGACGGUCACACUCACCUGUGGCUCCAGCACUGGGGCCGUGACCACCAGCAACUAUGCCCACUGGGUCCAACAGAAGCCCUGCCAGUCACCCCGGGGUUUGAUAUAUGAUGGCAGCAACCGGAACCCAGGCAUCCCUGCCCGCUUCUCAGGCUCCCUGCUCGGAGACAAGGCUGCCCUCACCAUCAUGGGGGCCCAGCCUGUGGAUGAGGCCGAGUAUUACUGUGCCCUGUGGUACAGCAACCAUUUCCACAGUGACAGAUGCCAACGGGGAAGUGAGACCAAAUCACCCAGCCUCGGCCUCACCCUAUGCUCCUGA